UUUUCGCUGCUCGGUUUUUGUUACAUUGCUAUAUAUAAUACUUUUUGUUCUAAUUUCUUGUCACGCCCCGGAGUCCCUUUCAGUUUAAAAGAUAGCGGAAAAGCGGCUAUUUUUUUUUUUUUUUUUUAUAUAUAUCUGACCCCAGAGUAUGCCAGAUCCGCCACAAAUAUAGGAGAUCCACUGUUCACACGAACAAAGUCUCCCCUGUAUUUGCACGGCAUCGCACAAGUACAAGAGUACAACCAGGAUACAACCACAACUAGAUGAGUAUAAAGAUAACUAUACAUUCAUACAUUCACCAUUCACAUCACAAUUUUACAUUCAAUGUUUAAACAGAAAUCCAAAAAAAAUCCUUUUAAAAACUGUUUCCUACACGGAAACCUUUAUUCUUUAGAAACGCUACCACGAGGGGUAGAAAACCUUUUAGUUUACCAAAUCCAGAAAUUCUUUUAUUAAAAUCAUGAAAAUUCACAUUUUCAAAUGUAAAUAAAUACUGAACCAUACAAGCUAUCUAUGCUAUAUCAACAGAAUAGUAAGGGUAGAAACUAAACCGAACAACCUGGGUCGGAAGAUCUAUCGACCGCUACGUACGUAUCUCGCGUCUCGUCCCAAUACACAUCGCCUGCGAUACCUGAAAAAUGGUGGGGGAGGUGAGAACAUGUAAACAUGUCUCCCCUCCCAGUGGGUACCGCAAGCAAAAAGGCGAGGAUACUCACCGGAUCAGGAAGAGCUAUACAACAACACGGGUCAGUGGAAAUACAGUAGGAACAAUAGUAAACGAAAGAGAUGUAUAAGGUAAUGAGCAGAUAUACUAAAUACAGUAGCAAUAAACUGACAGAAAGUAAGAACUAAACUGAACAACGGCUACCGCUACUGUAACUGGAACCGAAAGCAUACAUGAAUAUCUACUAUAGUAGCAUGACAACUAUAAAGUAAGAACUGUAAAUAUGCAUGCACGACUGCUACUAUAGACAUAUGCGUCAACUGACGAUAACCUCAAAAGUACCCAAUCUCG
rnacentral:lncRNA from 1 species